CCUACGGGAGGCAGCAGUGGGGAAUCUUCCGCAAUGGGCGAAAGCCUGACGGAGCAACGCCGCGUGAGCGAAGAAGGUCUUCGGAUUGUAAAGCUCUGUGAUAUUGGACGAACAGUUCUCUUGUGAAUAGCAAGAGGAAAUGACGGUACAAUAAGAGGAAGCCACGGCUAACUACGUGCCAGCAGCCGCGGUAAUACGUAGGUGGCAAACGUUGUCCGGAAUUACUGGGCGUAAAGGGCGAGUAGGUGGUUUAUUAAGUCAGAAGUGAAAACUCUGGGCUCAACCUGGAGACUGCUUCUGAAACUGGUAGACUUGAGUGCAGGAGAGGGAAGCGGAAUUCCUAGUGUAGCGGUGAAAUGCGUAGAUAUUAGGAGGAACACCAGUGGCGAAGGCGGCUUCCUGGCCUGUAACUGACACUGAGGCGCGAAAGCGUGGGGAUCAAACAGGAUUAGAUACCCUGGUAGUCCACGCCGUAAACGAUGAGUGCUAGGUGUCGGGGGUAUCGACCCCCUCGGUGCCACAGUUAACACAAUAAGCACUCCGCCUGGGGAGUACGGUCGCAAGACUGAAACUCAAAGGAAUUGACGG
rnacentral:rRNA from 1 species